rnacentral:rRNA from 1 species
UACGGGGGGGGGGGCAAGCGUUGUUCGGAAUUACUGGGCGUAAAGGGCGCGUAGGCGGUUGGAUAAGUCAGCUGUGAAAACCACGGGCUUAACUCGUGGCCUGCAGUUGAAACUGUCUGGCUUGAGUGUGGGAGAGGAGAGUGGAAUUCCUGGUGUAGCGGUGAAAUGCGUAGAUAUCAGGAGGAACACCGGUGGCGAAGGCGGCUCUCUGGACCACAACUGACGCUGAGGCGCGAAAGCUAGGGGAGCAAACAGG